rnacentral:lncRNA from 1 species
AGAGCCCACUUGGUGGUUUCCCUACCUAGUAACAGGGAGGCCUCGCUCCGCACCCCGUCCACCACGCGAUGAUUGGCUGCUGAGCGAAGGGAGGGCGGCUGCUAUUGGCUGGUGGCUGAGGGGCACGUGUAUUGCUGGCAGUUGCCCGGGUCCGCGUGCUGCCGGUGGGAAGGCGCGAGAUGGCUGCGGCGCAGGAUGAGCUCCAAGGGCAGCGGCCCCGGGCGCAGCUGUGCGUCGGGUGCUCGCGACGCGGAACAGUUGUCUCCCAAGACUUGAUUUCAUCAGGAGCGCGUCAUCAUGCAUUACAGUGUGGACAUAUCUUUUGUGAAUUGUGUUUAUCGGUAACACAGGAGUCAAGUAUAAUAGUGUGUGUUGACUGUGAGGCUGUUACCACUGUAAAUACAAACCAAGGUUUCUACCCAGUGGAUGACUAUGUGGAAGAAGAACUUUAUACAAGAAAACUGCAGGCUGUAAAGCAAAGUCUUCAGACUUUACAGGACAACCCCACCAGAUCAUACAGAGGAAACAAUUAUUUAUGUCAUAUGUUGAAAGAGGACAUCAAUUCAGAAGAGUCGCAAGAAAAUCAUCUUGGCCAUAGUGAAAGAGAUGAAGACUGUGAUCUGUAUGACCUCCUUUCUCCAAAAGUAAUUCAAUAUUACACACAAAGAUUUGAAUCAUUAGUACAACUUGUAAGCUAAAACCUCUUAUAAAUUCUCUGUAUUCUGGUUGAGAGGGGUUAAAACACAUGCUCCUUUUCCCUCCCUCAGCUCCAUUAAAAUCUUUUGACUAUACACAUUUCAACUGUCCAUUUUAACAGCACAUGGAAAAACUGAUUCUACUUUACAAGCCUAUUUUAUGUUGAAAGUGUAAGGCAAGUUGUGGAUUGCUUUGUUUAUGGUUCGUAUAAAAGAAUUGCAAAAGCAUGUCAGUUUAAUCUGCUAAUUCUAAGACACUACUUACAACACUUUAUGAAUAAGCUAGUAUUCAGAUCAACAGUGAGAAUUUCAUAGAGAAAUAGAAAUUAUAGACAUUUAUAGAAAUUCUGUGUUGAUUUUAUUGGAAAGUUUGUACCACUUAGUUUAAGGAUUGAUGAUAAACUUCACUUGACAUCCUAAGUAAAAUGAAUGCAGAAUUGUUUGCCCUUCUCCCUCACUCUUGUGGGUGCUGAAUCUGUGGUGUUCUUCAAGCAUUUGUCCACAGAGAUUCCACUGGAGGCAUGUGCAUCCCGUGUAUGUGAGCCUAAAAUCUCUUAGCUCACAGUGUCUGAGGCUGCGCAUACACCCUCCCUGCCAACCUAAGGCAUAAAGUGCAGAGCAUCCCCACUUGCCUCUCAGUUUCUUAUUACCAUCCCUGAUAGCAGGACAGAAAUGCAUAGAAUCCAUCUGUUUCCCUAGUUUUAGGAUAGUUCGUUACUUGUUGUUCUUGUAGUUAGACUUUUAAGUGGCUGUUGGCAAAAUAAAACCCCAAAAUGGUUUUUUUAUCUGACUCCU